rnacentral:rRNA from 1 species
GUUGGGUAGGGGAGCGUUCUGUAAGCCUGUGAAGGUGGCCUGUGAGGGUUGCUGGAGGUAUCAGAAGUGCGAAUGCUGACAUAAGUAACGAUAAAGCGGGUGAAAAGCCCGCUCGCCGGAAGACCAAGGGUUCCUGUCCAACGUUAAUCGGGGCAGGGUGAGUCGACCCCUAAGGCGAGGCCGAAAGGCGUAGUCGAUGGGAAACAGGUUAAUAUUCCCGUACUUGGUGUUACUGCGAAGGGGGGACGGAGAAGGCUAUGUUGGCCGGGCGACGGUUGUCCCGGUUUAAGCGUGUAGGUGUGUGUUCCAGGUAAAUCCGGUUCACUUUAACACUGAGGCGUGAUGACGAGGCACUACGGUGCUGAAGCAACAAAUGCCCUGCUUCCAGGAAAAGCCUCUAAGCAUCAGGUAACAUCAAAUCGUACCCCAAACCGACACAGGUGGUCAGGUAGAGAAUACCAAGGCGCUUGAGAGAACUCGGGUGAAGGAACUAGGCAAAAUGGUGCCGUAACUUCGGGAGAAGGCACGCUGACACGUAGGUGAAGUGAUUUACUCAUGGAGCUGAAGUCAGUCGAAGAUACCAGCUGGCUGCAACUGUUUAUUAAAAACACAGCACUGUGCAAACACGAAAGUGGACGUAUACGGUGUGACGCCUGCCCGGUGCCGGAAGGUUAAUUGAUGGGGUCAGCGCAAGCGAAGCUCCUGAUCGAAGCCCCGGUAAACGGCGGCCGUAACUAUAACGGUCCUAAGGUAGCGAAAUUCCUUGUCGGGUAAGUUCCGACCUGCACGAAUGGCGUAAUGAUGGCCAGGCUGUCUCCACCCGAGACUCAGUGAAAUUGAACUCGCUGUGAAGAUGCAGUGUACCCGCGGCAAGACGGAAAGACCCCGUGAACCUUUACUAUAGCUUGACACUGAACAUUGAGCCUUGAUGUGUAGGAUAGGUGGGAGGCUUUGAAGCGUGGACGCCAGUCUGCGUGGAGCCGACCUUGAAAUACCACCCUUUAAUGUUUGAUGUUCUAACGUGGACCCGUAAUCCGGGUUGCGGACAGUGUCUGGUGGGUAGUUUGACUGGGGCGGUCUCCUCCUAAAGAGUAACGGAGGAGCACGAAGGUUGGCUAAUCCUGGUCGGACAUCAGGAGGUUAGUGCAAUGGCAUAAGCCAGCUUGACUGCGAGCGUGACGGCGCGAGCAGGUGCGAAAGCAGGUCAUAGUGAUCCGGUGGUUCUGAAUGGAAGGGCCAUCGCUCAACGGAUAAAAGGUACUCCGGGGAUAACAGGCUGAUACCGCCCAAGAGUUCAUAUCGACGGCGGUGUUUGGCACCUCGAUGUCGGCUCAUCACAUCCUGGGGCUGAAGUAGGUCCCAAGGGUAUGGCUGUUCGCCAUUUAAAGUGGUACGCGAGCUGGGUUUAGAACGUCGUGAGACAGUUCGGUCCCUAUCUGCCGUGGGCGCUGGAGAACUGAGGGGGGCUGCUCCUAGUACGAGAGGACCGGAGUGGACGCAUCACUGGUGUUCGGGUUGUCAUGCCAAUGGCACUGCCCGGUAGCUAAAUGCGGAAGAGAUAAGUGCUGAAAGCAUCUAAGCACGAAACUUGCCCCGAGAUGAGUUCUCCCUGAGACUUAGAGUCUCCUGAAGGAACGUUGAAGACGACGACGUUGAUAGGCCGGGUGUGUAAGCGCAGCGAUGCGUUGAGCUAACCGGUACUAAUGAACCGUGAGGCUUAACCUUACAACGCCGAAG